rnacentral:rRNA from 1 species
GACGAACGCUGGCGGCGUGCUUAACACAUGCAAGUCGAACGGAAAGGCCCUGCUUUUGUGGGGUGCUCGAGUGGCGAACGGGUGAGUAACACGUGAGUAACCUGCCCUUGACUUUGGGAUAACUUCAGGAAACUGGGGCUAAUACCGGAUAGGAGCUCCUGCUGCAUGGUGGGGGUUGGAAAGUUUCGGCGGUUGGGGAUGGACUCGCGGCUUAUCAGCUUGUUGGUGGGGGAGUGGCUUACCAAGGCUUUGACGGGUAGCCGGCCUGAGAGGGUGACCGGCCACAUUGGGACUGAGAUACGGACCAGACUCCUACGGGAGGCAGCAGUGGGGAAUAUUGCACAAUGGGCGGAAGCCUGAUGCAGCAACGCCGCGUGCGGGAUGACGGCCUUCGGGUUGUAAACCGCUUUCGCCUGUGACGAAGCGUGAGUGACGGUAAUGGGUAAAGAAGCACCGGCUAACUACGUG